AUUGAACGCUGGCGGCAGGCUUAACACAUGCAAGUCGAACGAGUGGCGGACGGGUGAGUAAUGUCUGGGAAACUGCCUGAUGGAGGGGGAUAACUACUGGAAAUGGUAGCUAAUACCGCAUACCAUCGGAUGUGCCCAGAUGGGCUUAGCUAGUAGGUGGGGUAAAGGCCCACCUAGGCGACGAUCCCUAGCUGGUCUGAGAGGAGGACAGGCCACUCGGGAACUGAGACACUGUCCAGACGCCUACGGGAGGCAGCAGUGGGGAAUAUUGCACAAUGGGGGCAAGCCUGAUGCAGCCAUGCCGCGUGUAUGAAGAAGGCCUUCGGGUUGGAAAGUACUUUCAGCGGGGGGGCGUUACCCGCAGAAGAAGCACCGGCUAACUCCGUGCCAGCCGCCGCGGUAAUUC
rnacentral:rRNA from 1 species